rnacentral:rRNA from 1 species
CAGCCGCCGCGGUAAUUCGUAGGUGGCAAGCGUUGUCCGGAAUUAUUGGGCGUAAAGGGCUCGCAGGCGGUUUCUUAAGUCUGAUGUGAAAGCCCCCGGCUCAACCGGGGAGGGUCAUUGGAAACUGGGAAACUUGAGUGCAGAAGAGGAGAGUGGAAUUCCACGUGUAGCGGUGAAAUGCGUAGAGAUGUGGAGGAACACCAGUGGCGAAGGCGACUCUCUGGUCUGUAACUGACGCUGAGGAGCGAAAGCGUGGGGAGCGAACAGGAUUAGAUACCCGUGUAGUCCCUGUCUCUUAUAC